UUUAUGGAGAGUUUGAUCCUGGCUCAGGACGAACGCUGGCGGCGUGCCUAAUACAUGCAAGUCGAGCGGAGUUUUAAAAGCUUGCUUUUAAAACUUAGCGGCGGACGGGUGAGUAACACGUGGGCAACCUGCCCUGUAGACUGGGAUAACUUCGGGAAACCGAAGCUAAUACCGGAUAAUCUUUGGAACUUCAUGGUUCUAAAGUAAAAGUUGGGUUUACCUAACACUACGGGAUGGGCCCGCGGCGCAUUAGCUAGUUGGUAAGGUAACGGCUUACCAAGGCGACGAUGCGUAGCCGACCUGAGAGGGUGAUCGGCCACACUG
rnacentral:ncRNA from 1 species